UAGGGAAUCUUCCACAAUGGGCGAAAGCCUGAUGGAGCAACGCCGCGUGUGUGAUGAAGGGUUUCGGCUCGUAAAACACUGUUGUAAGAGAAGAAUGACAUUGAGAGUAACUGUUCAAUGUGUGACGGUAUCUUACCAGAAAGGAGCGGCUAAAUACGUACCAG
rnacentral:rRNA from 1 species